UACGUAGGCAGCAAGCGUUGUUCGGAAUUACUGGGCGUAAAGAGUGUGUAGGCGGUGCUCUAAGUUUGGUGUGAAAUCUCCCGGCUCAACUGGGAGGGUGCGCCGAAAACUGGAAUGCUUGAACAUGGGAGAGGAAAGCGGAAUUCCUGGUGUAGCGGUGAAAUGCGCAGAAUAUCAGGAGGAACACCGGUGGCGAAGGCGGGUCUCUGGGCCAAUGACUGACGCUGGAGGAAGCGAAAGCGUGGGGAGCGAACAGGA
rnacentral:rRNA from 1 species